UGAUGCUGGGCAGCGGCAGCGAGCCACAGCUCUCAGUCAGCCACGCGAUCUCGAGAGUACGCAACCGAUACACUUACAACCAUUCUGCACCCAUCCAACCAUUCUGUUUUUCACUUUCAGUACAGUAUUCAACAAAUUACAUGAGAUGUUCAACACUUGAUUAUAAAAUAGGCUUUGUGUUAGAUGAUUUUGCUCAACUGUAGGCUAACAUAAGUGUUCUGAGCAUGUUUAAGGUAGGCUAGGCUAAGCCAUGAUGUUCAGUAGGUUACGUGCAUUAAACGCAUUUUCGACUGAAGCCAUUUUCAACUUACAAUGGAUUUAUCUGGAUGUAAUCCCAUCGUAAGUUGAGGAAGGUCUGUAUAAGUAAUUUCUCUAAGAGAGAGGG